GACAUUACUAAAUAAUUUACGUCAGUAUGGAAAGUUCUGAUCCGUUCAGUUUUUUUCGUUGUGUGAGAGGGUGAAGUGAAAAUAAACCGAUGAAGUGGGGGAGGCGACGAAAAAAAUCUACGACGGUUAACCUACGAAAAAAACCGAACGAAAGUGGUGGGACGAAAAAAAACCUGGAAGCGAGACUACCAACUGCUCCAUUAGGAGUAGAGAUAUAAGAUGAGGGAGUAUUUGCUUCUUAGUAUCUCUAAACAAAAUCCACAACAAUAAGCUACGCGCGAUGGGCGCCCUCUCGCGACGUCCACGUCAUCACAGGUAUACUGUGCCUGGCAGCCUCUCUCUCUCUCUCUCUCUCGUUUACUCCUCCUGGGGGCUAGGGUUAGCGCGGCUGCCGCCCCAUCCCUGCUUGCGCCGCCUCUGCUCCAUCGGCCCAUUCCAUCACCUCCGACGCUGGCCACUGGAGAAGGCGCCCCCCUGAGACCCUUUUCUUCCCCAAGCCUUCUGUCCUCGAGUUCCAGCCGACGUCCAUGGUGGUUGCAGAGGAUGGGAGCAAGGGGAUGGCAUCGAGGAGCUCCGCCCACUUCUUCGCGCCAGCCGCCGAUGCAGCUCUGCCUCCAUCCCCACGCUUGCAGCGACGGUGGUCCACGGCACCGUCACCAUCUUCCUCGGCAGGAGCAACACGCCCGACGCUGCUCCGCUGUUGCCGUCAAGCGCUGCUUCGCCUCUGUCGUCCCUGCACUUCUGUAUCCAUCUUAUUCCUGGAAGGUUCUUACGACAGGUUAGUUCUUGUACUUGACGGUUCCUUUAAUCUUUAUUCCAAAUUAGUUGCAAGUAGGCCGUGAAUGCAUAGCAUGGUUCGUUGGAUGUAUUGCUUGGAGAUAGACAAAUAAAUAAAUGCCAAUGAGAUGUUCUUUGUGUUGGAUUCGUUGGAUAUUUUUUCCAAGGAGGUUGUUGCCGGAGGAAACUGCUAGCAAAUGUGCAGGCUUCAUAAUUGGAACUAGCGCGCGAGGAGCUUGACUGAUUGAUUGUGUCUUGCAAGAGUCAUGGACCACAAAGGUGGGCAGGUGACGGGUUUGUCGCUCUGCCCGGGUGCGCUCAGGACGGUGCUCCUGUUCUUGUUUUUGCUCUGGUUGAUCUUUCCCAUGCAGGCAGUUCGUAUGACUGGAGCUGUUGCUUCUUGUUGUGCUUUUUAGGGUUCCUGUGAGGUGAGCUGGUUGCUUGUUCUCAUUCCUGGGUCGGGCAACGGGUGUUCCUUUUAGUUUCAUCUAAGUUGAGCUUCGUCUGCCAUUGAGGUUCAGUGUACUACAUGUGGAAUGGUCUCAAAUCGCUAUGAGAAUAUGAUGGAUGGGCUUGACUGUUGAAAUUCAGUUCAUUGCUGUAGAGUGGCUUGAUGGGGACAAUAAGUCCAAAUGUGAUGGACCGGGACACACAUCCUGCUACAUCCCAAAGUUUUUUUUUCCUGAUAUAAUGAUGCUGAAAGAAUCAGAAAAUUCAGAGUCAAUCCUGAUAUAGGACACUUUUUUGAAUUUUUGCUGUUGGUGGUCGUCGUCGCAGCUCCUUCCCUCCACGUCGAAGACCUUAUGGCUGAGCUUGUCUCAUGGUGGUCGUCGAGCUCAUCUGGAUUGCGGCUGUAUGUGUGCAAUUUGGUAUGAAUAGCGCCCUUCCCUCCCUUUCACUCUCCUACCCACCAUGGGAACUUUUGGCACAUAUUCGAUCCAGAUGCAUGAUUAUUGGUGAGAUCUUUCGAUGAUUCUGUUAGCACUUUAAUAUGAACCUCUGGAGUAUUGUUAUGAUUUUGUUAGCACUACCAUGCGCUGAUUAGGUCACUUGUUGAGUUAUUCCAGAAUCUAUUAUGCUCUUUUGCACAGAGUUUCUUUGGUUGAAACUAUCAGCUGUGCCUAUGUUUAAUAAUUCUAAAAUUAAGAAACAGUAUGACAGAACGACCUAGGAGCCUCCACAGCGCUUUGCUGUCGCUCGCCGUCCGAUUGCACCGAUCGCAAGUCGUCUGGUUGUCUUCACUCGUUUCUUGAGCCGCUACUCUGCAGAACUCUCUAGCUCUGUUGUGGUUGAUUGGGCUGGUAUUGUAACCGGGCCGGUGCACUGAAUUCAUUGGCCUGUUUAGAUGGUCCACGCCUUUCUUUCAUCCCCGCACCCUGAUCCCUCCCUCUCCCGUCCGAGUUACCGCCGUUCUUCUCCUCCCCGCCAGCACCGCUCAGGCAGCCACCUCGCCUAAAAGAUAAGGUCACGAAAUAAAAUCUCCAUCGGUGGCGUCUCCUCUAAUAUUCCCGUGAUCAGCGGGCAGUGAAUACAGAGCGAGGCAGGCAACGACGGAUUGGCCUGGGUGGGGAGAUGCGGCCGACCAGGUCACGCCAUUGUGCUCGCCUUGAACAAUCAGGCGGAGGAUGUGGCACGGUUUUUCUGGCGGGUGCCCGGUGGACCUAUUCCGCUGCACUGCGUCGCCACCGGUGUGGGAGGGCAGUUACGCCGGCGUUGGUAUAAAAUGGCAGAGCUUCCGAGAGCAGUAGGAUGGCGGUUCCAAUAGCUGGGACGUGCGAGAGAGCAGAGGUCGAGCGUCAAGGUGCACUUCUACUCCGGCCGCCUCCAGCCGUGCAGAGGUCCCACACCACUGCAUUCUUCGGGCGCUUCUCUGUGCUGGGUGAUGGGAAGAUGAAGAUGAAGAUGCGGAUCAUGGGUAGGCAGGUAAAACUGGGACUGGGUUGAGCACUUGAGGCUUGCCGCAACUGUAAGAGGCCAACAUCUCCUACUAACAUGCUUCUGUGGCUUGUGGUGGCUCGACACCUUCUACGGCAGACACAUGUUCAAAUCCCCAUCGACUCAUAUAUGGAUGACAAAGCACAAUGUUGUCGUUAGCAUGAGUUUUAUGGCUCUUGCCGGGGAUCCAUGUGGCCAGUCACAUGGCUUGAUCGAGCGACCUCCCAUAGAACUUGCACUGCCUCCGCCUAGAUUCCUUGGUGAUAUAUCAUAUAUCUACUUCCGAUCCCCUUUUCUUCACAAAUCCAUGACUCCGAUGUAUUUCCAUGGGUUGCUACAAAAUGCAUGUAUCUUGGUAUGAUGUAGAUGAAACAUGUCAAAUAUUCUUACACUAUCUGCUUAAUUUCCUCUCAAGCCAAUCGACUUUGAUUGGAUGAUCACUUCAUUUUCUGCUUUGCUUGUCUCUGUCAAAUGCAAAUUUUGAGGUAUACGUAAGAGCGGAAGAUUGAGCUAUUUGAUUUUUUAUCUUAUAUUUGCUACUCAUAAGAACAUGCAUCAACUUAUUUUUGGCCUCUUGUUCUUGUUGAGAAAAUAUGAGAUGUCGCUUCUUUUGCCCUUCGAAUGUCCAAUGAUGAAUAGAAAUUUGAAAAAUGUAAAAAUGUGGCAAGAGUGUACAUUUUUUUUACGAAAGCUUUGAUUAUUACAUUCUAAAAUUGGGCGGGCGCGGCAACGCGCGCUAUCAUGUUCUAGUAUAUCAAUAUAUCUGCUCCGUCUAGAGAGGAUAGGGGGCUGCUUGGGCAUGGCGCAGCAGGGCAUGUCAAUAUAGUUUGGAGUCUGGGAAAGGGAGUGCUCUGCACCUAG